GACAGAGGGUGCAAACGUUGUUCGGAAUUACUGGGCGUAAAGCGAGUGUAGGCGGUUCGAUAAGUCGGAUGUGAAAGCCCCGGGCUCAACCCGGGAAGUGCACUCGAUACUGUCGAGCUAGAGUAUCGGAGAGGUUGGUGGAAUUCUCGGUGUAGAGGUGAAAUUCGUAGAUAUUGGGAAGAACACCGGUGGCGAAGGCGGCUCUCUGGACCGAGACUGACGCUGAGGCGCGAAAGCGUGGGGAGCAAACAGG
rnacentral:rRNA from 1 species